rnacentral:lncRNA from 1 species
UUUGGAAAGUGCUAGAAGUCUGGAAUAAUCUUCAUUCCCAACUCAUAUUGAAACCAGAAACCCAGAGAAACUCAAGUGAUUUUCAACUUUCCAACUCCUUUCACAUAGAAACCAAUAUUUUAAAAAGUUAAAAAGCAAAUGUAGACAAAUAAAAUAAUCACCCAGGUAAUUACUACUGGGAGAGGGAAUGGAGGGAGAAUGGGAGAGAGAGAAGGCAGGGAGAAAGAAAAGAGGGAAGAUAUAAAGGAAGAAAGGUAGUGUGAAAGAGGAAGGAAGGAAUUUAUUUCCCAGACCACAAGUACAAAGCUAACUAUGGAAGGGAUAAAAUAUAAAAAUAAUAAAGCAGCCCUUGUGCGGAGUGGGGAACAAGGCCUUUCCCCCGGAAACCAGUUCAGGAACAUCCUUCGCUGAUAUUUAAAACUUACCAUUAAAUCAUAAGAUUAUUACUAUCAUCAACAUAAUUUUAAAAAUGAUGAUGGCAGUGAAGCAACUAUUUUAGGCAAGUCACAGAACAACACUGCUUCCAUUUCCCACUGUGGCUGCUGUUAAUAUAAUGCUGGUGUGGAGGCUGAGGCAGGAGGAUCCUUUGAGCUCAGGAGUUCAAGGUUAGCCAGUAUAACACAAUGAGAUCCUGUCUCGGGGGGAAAAAAAAGUCUGGAGUCUGAGGGUGUAGAAUGUGUGCACCACAAAAGAAAUCUCACUCUAAUAUUGUAUUAUAUUAAU